AGCAACUUGAACAGUCGCCAUUUCAGAAGUCAAUUGUUAAAAUGCUGGAGAGCGGUGCGAAUAAUUAGGUCUGCAAGCUUUUCCUCGACUGCUCGCAUAGACCAUAACAAAGCCAGAGGAGCCUGGAGAGGGGGGUGUGGCUUCCAACAUGAAUACUGAAGAAGAGGAGGGGGCGUGGCUUCCAACAUGAAUACUGGAGAAGAAGGAAAGGAGGGAGGCGUGGCCUCUGAAAUGUACCACCCCCUCAGUGGAGCUGUGGACCCACAGAGCAAGAGGUCUGCCAACCAGAAAAUAACAAACGAAAACAACAAAGACAGAAGAAACACAUCUGGG